GAUCAUGGCUCAGGAUGAACGCUAGCGGCAGGCUUAACACAUGCAAGUCGAGGGGCAACGCGAGUAGCAAUACUUGGCGGCGACCGGCGCAAGGGUGCGUAACGCGUGAGCAACAUGCCCGUAUCAGGGGGAUAAUCCAGGGAAACUUGGUCUAAUACCCCAUAGUAAUUUUUGUAAGGCAUCUUAUAAGAUUUAAAGCUUUGGUGGAUACGGAUUGGCUCGCGUGACAUUAGCUGGAUGGUAAGGUAACGGCUUACCAUGGCUAUGAUGUCUAGGGGUUCUGAGAGGAAGGUCCCCCACACUGGAACUGAGACACGGUCCAGACUCCUACGGGAGGCAGCAGUGAGGAAUAUUGGACAAUGGAUGGAAAUCUGAUCCAGCCAUGCCGCGUGAAAGGAAGAAGGUCCUAUGGAUUGUAAACUUCUUUUGUAUGGGAGCAAUAAGGCCUACGAGUAGGUUGAUGAGAGUACCAUACGAAUAAGCACCGGCUAACUCCGUGCCAGCCGCCGC
rnacentral:rRNA from 1 species